CCCCUUGUCUUCUCUAGAUUCAUCUUCAACCACCUGUCUUUCAUUAGACAGAGGGAAAGCUGGAAGAUGGUGCUGCCUGCAUCUGAGGAAAAAGAGAGAGAUGUCCUGCGGGAUCAUGGGAACUGAAAAUUUCCUCAAACUGCUUAACGUAGGUGAUUACAAAAGAUGAGAGAGAUAAUUGAGAACUGAGCCAUAAGGAACUCCAUGGCGAACACCUAGCACCACUAGAAAUCAAUCUACCCCACUCUGCACUAACUGAAGUUCUUGAGUGGCCUUCAGAGGCAGCCUCAUGUUGAAUUAAUCCAACACGGAGGUUACAAACUCAGGGAUAGUUGUGCUGACCUCUGCAUCAGAAAGAAAUGGUUGAAACCUGACAAAAGGCAGAUGGGGAAAAGAUGCUGAUGUCCACAGUUCCUACCUAAGAGUAUAUGAGCAGCCGGGGGUUCAGACUGAACUUCUUUGAAUGUUGGUGUAUAUUCUAUCUGGAACUGUAGAUGUUUCCCACUAGCUCCCAACAUCACCUCUGUUAUAUUUGGAAGAAACCUCAGCUGGCUCACUUUCAUCUGAGACCUUGUCUCAGAAAAACACUGGAAAAGCAGAGGAACUAUUUCAAGGACUGAACAUCAACAUGUCAGUCCAAACCAACUCUAUAUUCCUUAGCUAUCCCUGUGUACUAUACAGUUAAUGAGAGAGUGACAUAAUGGAGCCCUGGUACACCCUACAUCAGAGGACUCUUGGGUGUAUGAAUAACUGCCCAACACACCUUCUCAGAAAAGAAAGAACAGCUGAAGCAAGAUUGUGUUUACACUGCUAGGAUAUUGUUCAUGAUCAACACUAUUGAAAGCUCCUGACUGCUUGUAUAACCAGCUCUCCACCCCCAGAAGGAGAUAUUGAAACCAGUGCAAUCUCUCAGCUAUGCCCAGCCUGAAAGACAGAUUGCUACAGCCUUCUCAAUCACCUUCCCCCAAAAUGGGAAGCUAGAGGCAGCAUGCUGGGCUAUCCCUUUCCUUCUACAUCUGUCUGGCCUGCCACCUUUGCACUCACACAGUCACAAAUCUAGGGGGAAGGUAACUGGAGCUUUGCUUUCUCAGAGUCCUACCCCUAUUAAGUGCCUAAUCCAUGAAAAGUCCACCCAGCAUGAAGGCAUUAAAGACUUGAUCCUGCAAGAUUCUGAGCACACUGGCUUGAUCCAUCAAAGCACUUAAGCACAGAUGAGGAAACUGAGGCAGAGAGCAGACAGGUGGUUUGCCUAAUCUCCUAUCUCCUGUCAUGGAUUAUCAAGACAAGAUAACUCCAGGAAAGGGACAGCCUCUGCACCCCUUCUUCAUGAGCACUAAAGGAAAGGAAAGACCUACCAGCUCAAUCCCUGUUCUCCAAACAAACAUACAGGGAUCAUACAGCAUUCUCACUGGCCCUUCGAUUUCUACUGGCUGCUGUACAUCGUCAACUUGAUCCCUGGCCUAACGUACUUUCAUUGACUGUACCAAGAGGAAGCACUUCCAUGAUGAAGUUAUGGUUGAAGUUCUUGAGCAGGCUGACAAGCACGUCCAGUACCAGAAGGACUCAAGACUGGAGAAACAGCAUGCUGAUAGGCAGGAGGAAAGGCUGAGGCUCUGUGUGCAGCUGGAGGAGAGGGUUUCAGCAAGGGAGUAGGCACUUGCAAUACAGUUCCCGGAAAAGGAACAAUGACUAAGGGAGCUCAACAGAGAAAACAGUUUGAGCGACUCAUCUCCAUCCUGGCCGGAAGAGAACAGGGUCCUACUGCCUCUCCCACACCAUGGCCUGAUCCCCCAGCAACAUACCCUAGGUACAGAAGUAGCUUGGACAACUCCAUGUUGGGGUAGGCCAUGCCAUCAAGCCUCAUGAACAGCUGGGCAGGGCAACUAAAUACCAUGCAGUUCUUCCUUUCUGAACCCCUCUCCUGUGAAUAAUUUCCCCCUCCCAUCCUCUCCAGUGCCACGUGCAUGGAAAACGGGGAAAGGAGAAUGUGUGGCCAGGGGACAUGCAGCGGUAGGGGGUUUGUAUCGUGUUUGCACUGUUUGCUGUAUUCUUUUUUUGUUUGUUUGUUUUGGAAAUAUUCUUCUGUUAGUUGUUUUUGGGUGUGAUAAUGACAGCUGGCCUGCCUAGCAAUGGUGGGAGACAGUUGUACUGUUUUAACUCAUGUUUACAAAUAAAGCCUUUUAUGUCAUCAA